ACGGGCGGACGGGCGAACGGGGUGGGACCGGUGGAGGCUCUCCGGCUGGGGUGCCUCGGGGUGCCUCUCGAAGGCCCAGCGCAGCCUGGACACGGUUCUGGCGGUGCCGGGGGAGGGAGAUGGGGAGGGGACGGUGACGGUGACGGAGAGGAGGUUGGGGUUGGGGCGGCGCACGUGAGGCGGUCCCCGAACCGCAGAGGUCGCUGCGCCCACCUCUGACGCCGUCCGUGCUCGGGGGCAGAGCAGUGCGCUCCCGCGCCGCGUCCCUUCUGUGCGGCCCGGAGCGCGGAGUCCAGGUCACCCGCCAGCCAUCACUCAUUGCCUCAAAACAGCACCCGCCGUGUGCCAGGUGCCCCAGGUGCCAUGAUGGAAACAGGCGCGUGCAUUGAAGAGUCGUUGCCACACUACCUGUCUUCACACUCACUUGGGCAACCUUAAAAAAAAAGUCAUUCAAUUCUAUUUACAAAAUGCCAUCCUGAUCCUGAUAAUCCUAUAGACCGUCCACGUGGGUUGCCAUGUUGUGGUAAAGUCCCAGCGUGCGACGUGGCAGAGAACUGAUGUCUUUGGCCAAAGGCCACCCAGGGCCUGAGGCCUGUCCACAGACAGGAGAGUGAGCUUGGAGCCCGUAUCAGUUUCCUGCAGCUGCUAUAACAAAUUGCCACAAACACAGUGGCUUACAACAACAGAAACUCUCUUACAAUUCUGAGGCCACAAGCCCAAGGCCAGUUUCACGGGGCUAAGGUGGUGGUGUUGCUGGGGUCAUGCUCCCUCAAGAGACUCUGGACAGAAUCCUUCUGCUCGCCUUGUCCAGCUUCGAGAGCUGCGUUCCUUGCUCUCUUUAGCUCGUGGCCCCUUCCUCCACCUCCAGAGCUGGCAGCGUGGUCCCUUCCGAUCUGCUCCUUCUUUGCUUUGCCUCCCUCUCAUGAGGACACCUGUGAUGGCGUCUGGGGCCCACGGGGACAACCCAGGGUCACCUUCCAGUCUCAGUCUGUAGUGUGCCCAGACCUACAAAGACCCCUUUCUCCAUUUAAAGAACCUGACACCAGAGGAAGGAGGGUGAAACUAAGAGAAAACAAGAGCCUUAUCUGGGGUCUCAGAAUGACACCUGCGAGAGCACCGAUCCCAGAGUGACCAGAAAAAGUGUCCCGCUUGGGUAGGGAAAGCAAGGGGGGUUUUAUGAGAAAGAAGAAGAAUCUCCUAUUUAGAUAAACCAGAGAAGAGAGAAAACCUGUUAAUUCCGUGCUAACCAGCUGAGCAGUUUUCAAUCACCGCCUAAUCGAUUCUUCUCUGCCUGCAACCAGGCUCAGUGUUUCAUAGCCUAGAAAGUGGGGUGCUGUCAACACAAACUGUUCCUGGCCUGCAUUAGUUAACUCUUUGCUCUUCCUAAAGUUCUAUCAGCAGUUUUGUGGUCGAAGGCCAGUCGUUCUACAGGAUGUGAUGAACGACUGCUUGUGAAACAAUUACAGAUGCUGGCCUGGUUUGAGAGCUCAUUGGUUAGAAAGUGAAAUGGAGCCUCAUCAUGGAGCCUCUCAUGGGCAGGGAGUUUGUACGGGUCCACGUCGCUUUCGCCGGCACCAGGGAUUAGAGCCUGGCUAUUUGGGGGGCCGUUAUGCAGCCCACCACAGAAGCUGGACCAGCUCUGUGAGACCUCCCCCCACCCCCCCCCCCCCACACACACGCACAGCCAGAGGCACCUGCCAGGGCCCAUGUGAAUUCCUGACCCGAAGAAACCGAGAGAGGAAAUUUCGGGGGUAAGACUUGGGAUAAUUUGUGAGGUGACAAUAGAUAACCCACACACAUGUCACUGAGUGUGACCAAAGGGGCAUUGGAGGCCCUCCCCGCAACCAGGGGUAGAAACAAGAAGGGGGAAUCCGGAUUUGUUUAUCCCACCGGGUGAUACCUCUUCAUGAAUACCCUUCGGCCUCAUCACUGCGGCACUGAUGGAAGGGAUCACCACCCCCCUCACUGCCGCCCCUGUGAGCAUCGGGGGGGGUGUAAAGACAGGGUUGUGGAUCCGUGCACCGUCAGCCCAGACUGGGGUUACAGCAUGUGUCACCUGCCGGGGCAGUCCUGCAGCACCAGGGCCAGAGAAGGGAAAAGUCUGAGAGACGGACUAUACUCACACGGCGGCCAGACCAUCCGUAAAAACAGAGCUCUUGCAACAAUCUGUUCUCUGCUGUAACCGGCCCCAGGGGCCAGCCUCCUGGAAGUCAGACUUGCAGAAGGCAGACCGUUUCCUACCCACGAUCUCGAAAGUGAAGCAACCACCUCUACAGCGACUCGCCCCCAGGUGACCAGGGUUUGCUGAAUAACUGACAGCUUCCCUCAAAUUGUGUCCCUAUUUCUGAUUUAGGACCCACCAGAGAAAGCCGGAUAUUAAUGCCUAACCAGCCACAGGGGACGUCUGCUUCUAGCUCGCUGCCCUCAGCCCCCACCCACGGCUCAUACGGAGCCUUCUCCCUGCCUGUGAGGCUUUGCCCAAACCCCCGAGCGACGCUGGCUGACCUCCUGCUCCUCGUCGUCAUCAGCUCUCACUAAAUACCUUUGCUCCUUCCCCCUUGGGUGGUCUUCCUCUAUUUCCGCACUUGUUAGGCACAAAACGCCAGCCCACAGGCGUAUUGCAGGAGGAAACGUACGUGUGUGCUUAUGUGUGCCUGUGUGUGUGAGCGAGUGAGUGACCCCGGGAUAAGAAGGGAGAGCAGAGAACACGCCUGUUCCUUUACUCCCGUGUUUUGUGCAACGAAGGCCCCCCACGGAUGUAGGGGCGGGUGUGGCAACAGGCAAAGCCGGUCUCCCCUGGCUUCUGUCAGCUCAGCUGGACCACAUUUCCCAGCCUGCCUUGCAGUCCGGUGAGGCCCUAGGCCUGAGGCCUGCCUCUGGAAUGUGGGAGGAAGCGAGGCACACAGCUCCCGAGCCUGGCUCCUGGAAACUUCCAGGAAUCCUCUACACUCUCCCGUUCCUCACCUGCUGGUCAGAUGCAGAGGGUCUGGUGGGGACUCGAAGGAGCCGGCGAUGGUGGGGCCAUGAGGUAGAAGGAUGCUGGUGGCCCAGGGACAGUGUGGCUCAGAACCCUGCCAGUCGGCCUAGGACAUCCGUGAUGUGAGCGAGGGGCACGGCUGGGUCGUGGUAAGCUGCGGAGGUCUUGAGGUGCUUGUGGUCGCCGUGAGCUUAUUCCGAUGGGAGCGUGGGCCCCGCACUCAGCCCCACGCUCCGACUUGCUGGGAAGCCAGGUGUGGUGGGCUACCUCUUCAGAAGCCACGUUUAAGGGCUAACCCCCGGAGCCUCUACGGACCUAGAGAGUACAGAAGAGAGGUGUUUGAUGAGCGGGAAGAGUCGCUGGAUUUGGGGACAGGUAGCUCAUAGAAAUGGUUUCACUUAAUGUUCCUAAAAUUCCCCUGAAAUUAACUAUUGCUUAGCGUGACGAAGAAAAUAAAAUUAGCCGUAAUCCUCCAAUCUAGAGAUGACCACAGGUAGGAAGCUCGA